GCUUCUCCAUCCCUUCAACUACUAGUUAAGUAAUUAAUUUUAAUGCCAUAUGAUGCUUUUCAUGUCAGCCAUGCUUAUCAGUGGUAGUUCCCUGUGAACAUUUAGAACUGAGGUGUGGUCAAGCCCAGGACUAAUCAUUCAAAUGUUUUUUCAAAUCCUACAUCUUGUGGUGGCUUAGAAAGAUAUAUUUAAUGGCUUAUGCAUGGAGAUGAUUAAAUCUCGUGUUAUCAUUCUCUAAUAGCUCGGGUCUGGAGCAUUUGCAUGAAAAAAGGAAUUCAGAUGAGAAUUAUAAAUGCAUGUGUUAGCCAUGCUAUUGAAGUGCAUGGACUAAAAGAGGAAUGAAAACAAAAUCAUCGUGCAGACAUAAUUGAGUAUUUUUAUUUGUAAUUUUUGUUGAUAGAUUUAUCACCAAGCCCUUCAGUUUCGAUUACUUUUUCUUUUGACUGUUCACCU
rnacentral:misc_RNA from 1 species